rnacentral:ncRNA from 2 species
UUAUUCCGCCCGGGGUGUGCUGUGAAAGCACUGAGAUGGUCGUCCGAACCCGCGAACUUGAUCCGGUUGAUACCGGCGUAAGAAGUGCCAAGCGUUGUGU